rnacentral:snRNA from 1 species
GUGCUCACUUGAGCAGUACCAUAUACUAAAAUUGGAAUAAUACAGAGAAGAUGAGCAUGGCUCCUGGGCAAGGAUGACAUGCAAAUUUGUGAUAUUUUUCCAUAUUUC